GGAAUUUUGGACAAUGGGCGCAAGCCUGAUCCAGCAAUGCCGCGUGAGUGAAGAAGGCCUUCGGGUUGUAAAGCUCUUUUGUCAGGGAAGAAACGGUUCCGGCUAAUAUCCGGGGCUAAUGACGGUACCUGAAGAAUAAGCACCGGCUAACUACGUUCCAGCAGCCGCGGUAAUACGUAGGGUGCAAGCGUUAAUCGGAAUUACUGGGCGUAAAGUGUGCGCAGGCGGUUUUGUAAGUCUGAUGUGAAAUCCCCGGGCUCAACCUGGGAAUUGCAUUGGAGACUGCAAGGCUAGAAUCUGGCAGAGGGGGGUAGAAUUCCACGUGUAGCAGUGAAAUGCGUAGAGAUGUGGAGGAACACCGAUGGCGAAGGCAGCCCCCUGGGUCAAGAUUGACGCUCAUGCACGAAAGCGUGGGGAGCAAACAGG
rnacentral:rRNA from 1 species